rnacentral:lncRNA from 1 species
CGGAUUCGAUUCCAUCCUUCCAGCUUCUCUCCCGUCCGCGAUUCAAGGACGACCUCCCAGCUUCUUCAUCUAAACUCCCAGCCGUUAACCCUUCCCAGCUUAACUUCCAACCACAUCUCUCCCCUGUUCUAUGACAAUCAUCCAGAACCAAAUCUAGAUUAACACAUAAGAAUCCCAGCUCACGGUUCGUCAUUCCCUCUUCCGAAUCCUCCUCAUCUCCCCUUCAUCCACGGGAUAAACUCAAAUCCCAUCUUCCUGCGUGAUCUCAUGGAACAGCCCGAGUCUUCAGCGAUGACAACCACCCACGGAUAACUCCCAUUCCGAAUCAACUCAUCUUCAUCUCCCCUUCUUCCCAUCGUAUCACAACAGUCCCAACGUCCCAGUCAUCGUUUCACUUUCCCAGCAGUCGCGUUUGAUCCCUGCCUCCUAGAUUUCCUCUUCCGCGAUUCAUCCCGUGAGCAUCCCGAACAACAUGGCAUUCAAAUGCAUCCUCUGUUCAACUUCCAGUCGCAUGACCCGUGGGAUUAACCUCCCAGCUUCUUCCGGAUUGAUCUAAAAUCCCAGCUCAUCCUCUUCCUAACGUCCCAACCAGAGCAACUCCUCCUUCCCAAGCAUCACGGAAGUGUCAAUCCGUUCUCAUCCGAACUUUACUUCCCCUGUUUCAGAACCAAUCCAAACGGUACCAUCCUUUCGGUUCCCAGCUCAGCUCCUCCCAAUGAUGUUCUUCCGGAUUGUUCCCAGACCUAUCCACGGACGAGUUCAUGUGUCCGCGUUCCAUUCUUCCGAUUCUUCUUCCCAGACUUCACGGAAACAACAUCCUCCCAGCUCAUCCCGUCUUCAUCGCCAACCAAACUUCCAGCUUCUUCCAAAUCUCCUCCCAACCAACUAGCCUUCCAUCACUUCCGGAUAAGCUCGAGACCCAUCUGCCAACCAACCCCAGCUCACGAAUCCAUUGGUUUCUUCCUCCCGUUCGGAAUUAUCUUCAUCCACGGAUAAACUUUCCUUCCCAGCCGUUCCGCUUCCCCUGUUUCCGGAACCACCUCAUCCCAACAGCAUUCAACCGGAUCGAGCUUCAUCCUUGCGAGCUUCACGGCAACCACUCCUGCGUCUUUUCCGUG